rfam:Canis lupus familiaris chromosome 1, whole genome shotgun sequence.
GUGCUUCUGCGGCACGUAUACUAAAAUUGGAAGCAUACAGAGAUGAUUAGCAUGGCCCCAGUGCAAGGAUGGCGUGCACAUUCAUAAAGCGUUCCAAAUUAAA